UCAACUGUUCAAUAAUCACAAGCACCCGGUGGCUACCAUUUGAACAGCAUAGUUCCGGUUGGGAGUCCCAUAGAGUCACAUUCUUUUAUGUUCCCCAGUCAUUCUAGAGACACCUGCUUCAAGUGUACAGUUGCCUAGAUAUCCUGCAACUUGCUCCAUGCACCUCGGCCACAUACUCCAGGCUGCUGACUGGCUGACGGGUGAGUCAUUAUAGACAGCACCAGCAGUGAACGAGUCUGUCAGCAUGUGUGCAAGAACCAAGCCACUGUUUCCAGAGUGAAAAGGCCCUCCUCAGAGUCCACUCAUGGACUGUCUCCAGGGCCUCCCCAUGCUCCCAUCCUCAGCUCGACAGACCCGGAGAAGGCUCUCACAACACCGGUGCAGACAUACGGGGGCAAUUUCCCAUCUCGCAGGGGCACUGCCUCUGGGACUGAGCUGAAACCACAAAGCUGGGGUGGGAAAAGCAGGCUCAGAGAAGACACUACUUACCUAAAAUCUCAUAGGGAAUUGAUUCCUACAACGAUCUUAUUUUACCAACACAGUCCUGGAGGAAGAGAGGUUGAAGCAGGGAAUCAGUACAGAGAAGAACAAGGUCCAAAAUCCAAUCUGUCCUUGCCCCGCCUGGAGGAUGACAUAGAUUGUAUGAGCAGAUUAAUUGACACUUUUGUAUUCCCAGCCUCUUUG